UACGAAGGGGGGCUAGCGUUGUUCGGAAUUACUGGGCGUAAAGCGCGCGCAGGCGGUUCUCCAAGUCAGUGGUGAAAGCCCGGAGCUCAACUCCGGAAUUGCCAUUGAAACUGUUGAACUUGAGGACGAGAGAGGUGAGUGGAAUUCCCAGUGUAGAGGUGAAAUUCGUAGAUAUUGGGAAGAACACCCGGGUGGCGAAGGCGGCUCACUGGCUCCGUUUCUGACGCUCAGGCGCGACAGCGUGGGGAUCAAACAGG
rnacentral:rRNA from 1 species